rnacentral:rRNA from 1 species
CCAGAGAACUUUCCAGAGAUGGAUUGGUGCCUUCGGGAACUCUGAGACAGGUGCUGCAUGGCUGUCGUCAGCUCGUGUUGUGAAAUGUUGGGUUAAGUCCCGCAACGAGCGCAACCCUUAUCCUUUGUGCCAGCGGUUAGGCCGGGAACUCAAAGGAGACUGCCAGUGAUAAACUGGAGGAAGGUGGGGAUGACGUCAAGUCAUCAUGGCCCUUACGAGUAGGGCUACACACGUGCUACAAUGGCGCAUACAAAGAGAAGCGACCUCGCGAGAGCAAGCGGACCUCAUAAAAGUGCGUCGUAGUCCGGAUUGGAGUCUGCAACUCGACUCCAUGAAGUCGGAAUCGCUAGUAAUCGUGGAUCAGAAUGCCACGGUGAAUACGUUCCCGGGCCUUGUACACACCGCCCGUCACACCAUGGGAGUGGGUUGCAAAAGAAGUAGGUAGCUUAACCUUCGGGAGGGCGCUUACCACUUUGUGAUUCAUGACUGGGGUGAAGUCGUAACAAGGUAAGCGUAGUGCU